rnacentral:misc_RNA from 1 species
GAACAAGGCAGAUAAGAAAACUUGAUGCUACUAGGGAAAGUUAAGAAAGCCAAUAAAUAUGCAUCAGUUUAGUGGCCAUUAGGCUCUUUAACUCAAAAUCUAAAAAGGUAGGAUGGUAUUUAUUAGGUCUUAGGUUCAACAAUCUGGUAUGACUUAACAAAUUGAACAACCAUUAAUUACACUCAACUUCAAAAAGGGCUUUUGAUGUGGAAUCACCAUUUAGAGACUCUACGACUGUUUAUUUGG